rnacentral:tRNA from 1 species
GUCCCUGUAGCGCAAUGGUUAGCGCGUUGGACUUCUAAUCCAAAGGUCGUGGGUUUGAAUCCCUCCUGGGAUG